rnacentral:rRNA from 1 species
CGGGUAGAGUAAUGCGUGACCAACCUGCCCCAUGCUCCAGAAUAGCUCUUGGAAACGGGUGGUAAUGCUGGAUGCUCCAACUUGACGCAUGUCUUGUUGGGAAAGUGUUUAGUGGCAUGGGAUGGGGUCGCGUCCUAUCAGCUUGUAGGCGGGGUAAUGGCCCACCUAGGCUUCGACGGGUAGCCGGCCUGAGAGGGCGGACGGCCACAUUGGGACUGAGAUACGGCCCAGACUCCUACGGGAGGCAGCAGGA